rnacentral:rRNA from 1 species
UACGUAGGGUCCGAGCGUUGUCCGGAAUUACUGGGCGUAAAGCGUGCGCAGGCGGUUAUGUAAGACAGGUGUGAAAUCCCCGGGCUUAACCUGGGAACUGCAUUUGUGACUGCAUAGCUAGAGUACGGUAGAGGGGGAUGGAAUUCCGCGUGUAGCAGUGAAAUGCGUAGAUAUGCGGAGGAACACCGAUGGCGAAGGCAAUCCCCUGGACCUGUACUGACGCUCAUGCACGAAAGCGUGGGGAGCAAACAGG